rnacentral:rRNA from 1 species
GUGGGGAAUCUUGCACAAUGGGGGCAACCCUGAUGCAGCGACGCCGCGUGAGCGAUGAAGCCCUUCGGGGCGUAAAGCUCUUUCGACCGGAACGAUAAUGACGGUACCGGGAGAAGAAGCUGCGGCUAACUACGUGCCAGCAGCCGCGGUAAUACGUAGGCAGCAAGCGUUGUUCGGAGUUACUGGGCGUAAAGAGUGCGUAGGCGGUUUUCUAAGUUCGGUGUGAAAUCUCCCGGCUUAACUGGGAGGGUGCGCCGAAGACUGGGGAGCUGGAGUGUGGGAAAGGCAGGCGGAAUUCCAGGUGUAGCGGUGAAAUGCGUAGAUAUCAGGAGGAACACCGGCGAUGUAGACGGCUUGCUAGACCAUAACUGACGCUGAGGCACGAAAGCGUGGGUAGCAAACA